rnacentral:siRNA from 1 species
UUAGAACAUAAUAUUACUGCCAUG